rnacentral:rRNA from 1 species
GACGAACGCUGGCGGCGUGCUUAACACAUGCAAGUCGAACGGAAAGGCCCUGCUUUUGUGGGGUGCUCGAGUGGCGAACGGGUGAGUAACACGUGAGUAACCUGCCCUUGACUUUGGGAUGACUUCAGGAAACUGGGGCUAAUACCGGAUAGGAGCUCCUGCUGCAUGGUGGGGGUUGGAAAGUUUCGGCGGUUGGGGAUGGACUCGCGGCUUAUCAGCUUGUUGGUGGGGUAGUGGCUUACCAAGGCUUUGACGGGUAGCCGGCCUGAGAGGGUGACCGGCCACAUUGGGACUGAGAUACGGCCCAGACUCCUACGGGAGGCAGCAGUGGGGAAUAUUGCACAAUGGGCGGAAGCCUGAUGCAGCAACGCCGCGUGCGGGAUGACGGCCUUCGGGUUGUAAACCGCUUUCGCCUGUGACGAAGCGUGAGUGACGGUAAUGGGUAAAGAAGCACCGGCUAACUACGUGCCAGCAGCCGCGGUGAUACGUAGGGUGCGAGCGUUGUCCGGAUUUAUUGGGCGUAAAGGGCUCGUAGGUGGUUGAUCGCGUCGGAAGUGUAAUCUUGGGGCUUAACCCUGAGCGUGCUUUCGAUACGGGUUGACUUGAGGAAGGUAGGGGAGAAUGGAAUUCCUGGUGGAGCGGUGGAAUGCGCAGAUAUCAGGAGGAACACCAGUGGCGAAGGCGGUUCUCUGGGCCUUUCCUGACGCUGAGGAGCGAAAGCGUGGGGAGCGAACAGGCUUAGAUACCCUGGUAGUCCACGCUGUAAACGGUGGGUACUAGGCGUGGGGUCCAUUCCACGGGUUCCGUGCCGUAGCUAACGCUUUAAGUACCCCGCCUGGGGAGUACGGCCGCAAGGCUAAAACUCAAAGGAAUUGACGGGGCCCCGCACAAGCGGCGGAGCAUGCGGAUUAAUUCGAUGCAACGCGUAGAACCUUACCUGGGUUUGACAUGGAUCGGGAGUGCUCAGAGAUGGGUGUGCCUCUUUUGGGGUCGGUUCACAGGUGGUGCAUGGCUGUCGUCAGCUCGUGUCGUGAGAUGUUGGGUUAAGUCCCGCAACGAGCGCAACCCUUGUUCACUGUUGCCAGCACGUUAUGGUGGGGACUCAGUGGAGACCGCCGGGGUCAACUCGGAGGAAGGUGGGGAUGACGUCAAGUCAUCAUGCCCCUUAUGUCCAGGGCUUCACGCAUGCUACAAUGGCUGGUACAGAGAGUGGCGAGCCUGUGAGGGUGAGCGAAUCUCGGAAAGCCGGUCUCAGUUCGGAUUGGGGUCUGCAACUCGACCUCAUGAAGUCGGAGUCGCUAGUAAUCGCAGAUCAGCAACGCUGCGGUGAAUACGUUCCCGGGGCU